rnacentral:rRNA from 1 species
CAUCGGAACGUGCCCAAUCGUGGGGGAUAACGCAGCGAAAGCUGUGCUAAUACCGCAUACGAUCUACGGAUGAAAGCAGGGGAUCGCAAGACCUUGCGCGAAUGGAGCGGCCGAUGGCAGAUUAGGUAGUUGGUGAGGUAAAGGCUCACCAAGCCUUCGAUCUGUAGCUGGUCUGAGAGGACGACCAGCCACACUGGGACUGAGACACGGCCCAGACUCCUACGGGAGGCAGCAGAC